rnacentral:tRNA from 1 species
GUAGUUCAGUGGUAGAAUACAACCUUGCCAAGGUUGGGGUCGCGGGUUCGAGUCCCGUCCGGACCGCCA